UAUCGGCCUAUAUUCCCACCA
rnacentral:siRNA from 1 species